AACAAAGGUAACAUGUACACAUCAUAACUUUUAGCCCUGUAUUGCUUUUCUCCAAAUGUUCAUAAUAUAUAUUUGUAAUAUGUUUUUUGCAGCUUACAUGACAUGAGCAUUGUUGAGGAGGACUUGGAGGAAAAUGUUUUCAAUGACCCAAUGAACAGUGUGUAAGUAGUACUUCCUAAUUACAUGUUUUAUAUUUCAGUGAUAUUAUUUGAGAACUUGUUUUAAUCUGAAAGUUGUCAUUAUGUAAAGAAUUGAUUGGGCAGAUGAAGCUUCCCCUUACUCCCUUGAAAGAGAUGAUGGUUUCAGCUCUGAUGAAGAGGAUCUUCCACCGAUUUCUAUAUGAAUGGGUGGAGCACUGAAGAAAGCACACUCUAUCGAUGGACUUCCUUGCCUGCACAUGAAGACCCUCCUGGGGGGGGUUGAACAUUUAUAUUUUCACCUCUACACUCAGACUAUAGUUGAAUGCCUGUAUUUUACAGUAAUUCUUUUUCUCUUUUCAAGGCAGCAAAGAUGAAAGGAUAGUCCAUCCUCUUCAACUGGCUGAAGGACAUAGUCAACCAUUUUCGGUGGUGUUGCAAGACUGCCGACACACGUGGGCAGUUUCUUGCAUUAUGGGUUGGCAUCCUUCACUAUGUCUGCAACAUUCACACCUGGACUAUGGGAAAUUGCUAACACGGGCACCUUGAAUCGGAGCAAAUGCGGGGAAAGUGGAUCCAGAGAGACUCCCAGUGCCACAAAGCUUUAGUGGAUAUAGUUCUCAAUAAGAGGUGGCAGAAAGAUGUUCACAACUAUCUGCGAUUCAGGUAGUGUGGCUAUACUUUUUCACACUGAUGUAUAUUAGUAAUAUUUAGUAAUAAUUAGUAAUAUUUAUGCUUACUGCUCAUGAGGCAGGUUUGUGAGUAUUUGUGUGAAACUGUAUGACCAUGCCAGAGGGCCUGGAAGGAAAUUCACAGUCCAGGAAUAAAACCCGUGUAGUGUCCUUGAGGAUCAGGGAACUUGUCUCUGAUCCUCCAAACACAACAACUAGGGAUGACAAGUUGGUUUCCCUGGCCUAAAGCUCCAUGUUGCCAAGAGAUGAAGUGUCUAUAGGCACCAUAGCGGGACUCCCUGUUGUCAUCCCCAGGCUCCCUGAUGUUGCCUAAUCCCAUAAUGUCCU